rnacentral:lncRNA from 1 species
AGCCGCGCGGCCAGGGUAACCGCGGGCUCGCGUGGGUGCUGCUGGCUACCUGUACAACUUCGUGCUCCGGCGUCACCAGCUAGCUAAAUCCUCGCAACGGUUCUGGGCGAUAGGGGCCGUUUUUGUCCCCCUUCUUCAGCAGAUGAGGGAAUUUGUUUCAAAAAGUUGUUACCUGCUCACGGAAACAGACGUCCUAAGCUAUUAACACAAUCUCCAGCUGUGUUCUAACCAAGACAGGAACCGAAGGGAACAGUAAAAAAUCAUUUUCCGUGCUGCGCUGGGUCUUUUUCUUUGGAAUUUUAAGAAGUUCUGUGAGCUAAAGACCAAUGACUUCCUACAAAUCUUGAAGGACUCCAGGACUCAUCACCAUAGCAGACCAUGAUUCAUGGAAAAAACUCUGACAAGCACAGAUUUCUGAAAACUUUAAGGUCAUACCACUGGACUCGAGAAAUAUUACUGAACACUUGUUCUGAAGGCUGAUCCUAGACAGCAAGACUCAGAGAAUUGAGAGAAGACAAAAACAUUCAUCUAAUCGGGGCGGCUGGGUGGGGUGAAGUGAACCCAGCCUGAUUACCCUUAGCAUCUAACUCCACAGAAACUCUGCUCUCUAUUUUCUCAAUCUUCUCCAAUUCUUUAUGAAGGGGUUCAGGAAAUGCCGCCCCAAAAUAUGGUGCUUUGGUGUAAUACUUUGAGCUGAAGACACUUGAAAACAGUAUAUGCAGGGAGACGCUUUCUCUGAACUCCCCUUAUCUGUCUAAAGAUAGAUACCGCAAAGGAACUCAAUUUGUCAUCAAUUUUCCAUCAGUGAAACUCUUCCAGGAGUUUCAUCCACCAGUGAAGCUUAUCUCAAUCACAAGAGAAGAGACUAGAAGCCCACACCACACUUAGACAAAUGUCACAAACGAUCAUCUGUUCUUCUAAGGGCCAUUCAUCUUUUCCCAAAAUCAUUUACUCUGCCUGAAAUUGGCUACAUCCCUGGCUUCCUUCUCGCCUAUGUAGAGGGUAUAUAAGCUCCUAAAUCUCCCGGUUUUUCAGGUAAAGAAGAUAAAAUUUGGGAACUUAAAACUUGGCAAAGAAGGAAAUCCUUUUGGCAAUAUCAUAAAGAGGCCCAUUGUCACCAGAAGUGUAUAGUUUCUAACAGAUUUAUACAUUGGAAGUUGAUUUUGCUCCUAAUUUCAACAUGCCUAAUGAAAUAAAUAAUCAAAACAGUCUAAAAUUCUUCCUCCUCUCUGCCUCCUGCAAAAAGACAGCGUCUGGUAUUGUCCAC